rnacentral:rRNA from 1 species
UACGGGGGGGGCAAGCGUUGUUCGGAAUUACUGGGCGUAAAGCGUGCGCAGGCGGUUAUGUAAGACAGAUGUGAAAUGCCCGGGCUUAACCUGGGAACUGCAUUUGUGACUGCAUGGCUAGAGUUUGGCAGAGGGGGGUAGAAUUCCACGUGUAGCAGUGAAAUGCGUAGAUAUGUGGAGGAACACCGAUGGCGAAGGCAGCCCCCUGGGUCAAGACUGACGCUCAUGCACGAAAGCGUGGGGAGCAAACAGG